rnacentral:tRNA from 1 species
ACCGUACUUGGCGAGGACGCGCUCCGCCUCCCGCGCGGACUGGCGGGCGUUUCUGGCCGCCCGUCUGGUG